AUACUUACCUGGCAGGGGAGAGACCUAUGAUUAUGAAAGUGGUUUCCCCCAGGGAAACAUCCAUUGCAUUCCUGAUGCUGCUGACUCCCUGCGAUUUCUCCAAAAUAUCUGGAAUUCAUCUGCAUAAUUUGUGGUAGUGAGGGAACUGCUUUCACACUCUCC